rnacentral:rRNA from 1 species
GAUGAACGCUGGCGGCGUGCCUAAUACAUGCAAGUCGAGCGAACAGACGAGGAGCUUGCUCCUCUGACGUUAGCGGCGGACGGGUGAGUAACACGUGGAUAACCUACCUAUAAGACUGGGAUAACUUCGGGAAACCGGAGCUAAUACCGGAUAAUAUAUUGAACCGCAUGGUUCAAUAGUGAAAGACGGUCUUGCUGUCACUUAUAGAUGGAUCCGCGCUGCAUUAGCUAGUUGGUAAGGUAACGGCUUACCAAGGCAACGAUGCGUAGCCGACCUGAGAGGGUGAUCGGCCACACUGGAACUGAGACACGGUCCAGACUCCUACGGGAGGCAGCAGUAGGGAAUCUUCCGCAAAGGGCGAAAGCCUGACGGAGCAACGCCGCGUGAGUGAUGAAGGUCUUCGGAUCGUAAAACUCUGUUAUUAGGGAAGAACAAAUGUGUAAGUAACUGUGCACGUCUUGACGGUACCUAAUCAGAAAGCCACGGCUAACUACGUG